rnacentral:rRNA from 1 species
ACGAUGGCGACCGGCGCACGGGUGAGUAACGCGUAUCCAACCUACCCUUGUCCAUCGGAUAACCCGUCGAAAGGCGGCCUAACACGAUAUGCGGUUCACAGCAGGCAUCUAACGUGAACGAAAUGUGAAGGAGAAGGAUGGGGAUGCGUCUGAUUAGCUUGUUGGCGGGGUAACGGCCCACCAAGGCGACGAUCAGUAGGGGUUCUGAGAGGAAGGUCCCCCACAUUGGAACUGAGACACGGUCCAAACUCCUACGGGAGGCAGCAGUGAGGAAUAUUGGUCAAUGGACGAGAGUCUGAACCAGCCAAGUAGCGUGCAGGAUGACGGCCCUAUGGGUUGUAAACUGCUUUUAUAGGGGGAUAAAGUGUGCCACGUGUGGCAUAUUGCAGGUACCCUAUGAAUAAGGACCGGCUAAUUCCGUGCCAGCAGCCGCGGUAAUACGGAAGGUCCGGGCGUUAUCCGGAUUUAUUGGGUUUAAAGGGAGCGUAGGCCGUCUUAUAAGCGUGUUGUGAAAUGUCGGGGCUCAACCUGGGCAUUGCAGCGCGAACUGUGAGACUUGAGUGCGCAGGAAGUAGGCGGAAUUCGUCGUGUAGCGGUGAAAUGCUUAGAUAUGACGAAGAACUCCGAUUGCGAAGGCAGCCUGCUGUAGCGCAACUGACGCUGAAGCUCGAAAGCGUGA